CACCAAGAAAAUAAAGGGACCCUUCCUAGCCAUGGAGGAGCAUUUUUUUUAUUUAUUGGCAAAGCUGUCACCAUUUAAUUGGUAUCAGAUUCUGACUUGCACAAGUAACAUUC